rnacentral:rRNA from 1 species
UCCUGCCGGACCUGACUGCUAUCGGAUUGAUACUAAGCCAUGCGAGUCUUUGUAGUAAUACAAGGCAGACGGCUCAGUAACACGUAAUCAACCUACCCUAUGGACAAGAAUAAUCUCGGGAAACUGAGCAUAAUUCUUGAUAGAUCAUAAUGCCUGGAAUGGUUUAUGGUUAAAAUGAUUCGUCGCCAUAGGAUGGGACCGCGGCCUAUCAGCUUGUUGGUGAGGUAAUGGCCCACCAAGGCGAUUACAGGUACGGGCUCUGAGAGGAGAAGCCCGGAGAUGGGUACUGAGACACGGACCCAGGCCCUAUGGGGCGCAGCAGGCGAGAAAACUUUGCAAUGUGCGAAAGCACGACAAGGUUAAUCCGAGUGAUUUCUGCUAAAGAAAUCUUUUGCCAGUCAUAAAACCACUGGUGAAUAAGGGGUGGGCAAGUUCUGGUGUCAGCCGCCGCGGUAAAACCAGCACCUCAAGUGGUCAGGAUGAUUAUUGGGCCUAAAGCAUCCGUAGCCUGCUCUGUAAGUUUUCGGUUAAAUCUGUAUGCUCAACAUACAGGCCGCCGGGAAUACUGCAGAGCUAGGGAGUGGGAGAGGUAGACGGUACUCGGGAGGAAGUGGUAAAAUGCUUUGAUCUCUCGAUGACCACCUGUGGCGAAGGCGGUCUACCAGAACACGUCCGACGGUGAGGGAUGAAAGCUGGGGGAGCAAACCGGAUUAGAUACCCGGGUAGUCCCAGCCGUAAACUAUGCAAACUCAGUGAUGCAUUGGCUUUUGGCCAAUGCAGUGUUGCAGGGAAGCCGUUAAGUUUGCCGCCUGGGAAGUACGUACGCAAGUAUGAAACUUAAAGGAAUUGGCGGGGGAGCACCACAAGGGGUGAAGCCUGCGGUCAAU